rnacentral:rRNA from 1 species
UACGAAGGGGGCUAGCGUUGUUCGGAAUUACUGGGCGUAAAGCGCACGCAGGCGGCUCGUUAAGUUAGACGUGAAAGCCCCGGGCUUAACCUGGGAAUUGCUUUUAAGACUGUCGGGCUAGAAUCCAGAAGAGGGUAGUGGAAUUCCGAGUGUAGAGGUGAAAUUCGUAGAUAUUCGGAAGAACACCAGUGGCGAAGGCGACUACCUGGUCUGGCAUUGACGCUCAUGUGCGAAAGCGUGGGGAUCAAACAGG